AGCCAUUUUGGAAUUUGAUAAUAAUUUGACUUGACUUUCCGUCGACCAAAAGUGGCUGUUAUGUUUUCUUACUACCUGCAAAAUUGAUAUAAAAAUUGCUCCCUUUGACGAUUUGCACGCGUGGCCGUUCCACUGCCGCUGCCGGAGCAGACCGCUCGAAUCCCGGACCGCAUCAAAAGUUACAGUGUACGAUCAGCUGUGACUGACGUGUUGAACCCAAACAAAUCGGGUGUAAUCUUAGUGCUAUGCUGUUGGGAAGAUGAACGGUACGUUUUAUGAGCAGCUCGGGGGUGUGGCCGGGAUGUUCGAGCAGUGGGGCACGUGCGAGCGAACGGUCGUCGCCUGCGCUCUGGCUCGCCGGGUUCCCUGGCCGGGGCUUCGGCUGGUGCAGCGCGCCGUGGAGGCCGCCUUGCAGAACCACGUCGAGGACGAGCGCCUGGAGCGAGACGCCAACGACGAAACGUUGCUUGCCAGUCUCCUCGCGGCCAGGGCUGACGAAGACGAUGAAGAAGAUGGCGAAAGACUGCGGCAGCUGCUGACCAUGCUACCCCUGCUACGCACGGACAAUGAGCGAGCCAAGAACGUGUACGUGGCGGCGACACCAGCGCUGGUACAGCGUUGCGUGGACGCGCCGCGCCGCACGCCCGCGCCCGACCUCUGCCGCCAGCUGCUGUCCUACCUGCUGGUGCACCCCGCCUUUACUGUCCACGACCAAAGAACACUGACGCAAUGGCUACGCUAUUUAGAAAACCACAUGUCCGGCAACAGAACCACAGAAACAGUGUGGCAACAGAGGAUAGACCCGUGCCUAUUGCCGGAGACUAACAUCUGGACAAACAACAGCAUCUUCCGCCGGACCAUCGGCAAAAACGUGGAGUUCCGAGGGGUGCUGGACUCCGACAACCACUCGUACACCGACAUUUUACAAGAAUCCUUCUCCAAGAACGGAAGGGAUGUAGACCUAAGUUUGGAUGGCGAUAUGUUGAACUUCGACGCGGCGGUGGCGCAGCCUAAAUCCCAAAGAUCGAACAGCCUGACUCCGCCAGCGAGUAAUUUCAUGCAGAUGUCUUCGUCAGCUGAGAAUUUGAGUGACGAACAGUUUGUUCAGAAACCCAGAAGCUUUUCGCUGUCGAGCGAGCACAGUUUAAGUCAAUUGCGACCCAUCAGUGUAAUGUACGGGACCACGGGAAGCGAAACUCGACUAGACGACUUACGGUCGAAUAACUACACGGAACACCCCGGCAUGUCCACAGUCGCGCAGUGGUUGAAAAGUCUGAGGCUACAUAAGUACGUGUGGCUGUUCACGAACAUUUCAUACGAGCAGAUGAUGGCGAUCGAUGAGAAAUAUCUGGAAAAGUUAGGUGUAACAAAAGGCGCCCGCCACAAGAUCCUGCUCUCGAUAAAGAAACUAAGCGAACGUGGCUCCAUCCUAGAGGGUGUUCAGGCGGAACUGUCGUCCAGCACGGGCUCAGUGUUGCGCGCCCUGGAGCGUCUGCGAGGGGUGCUGCUGUCGCCCAUGCAGCCUGCCUCUGAGCUGCCCGCUGCUAUCGUCGCGGCUUUAGACCUUGCGUCGAAGUGCCUGAGCGGCGCGGCGGGCGCGCCCAGCGCGUCGGACGGGGAGCCCGAGCCCAUAGACCCCAUGUCCCUGCACUGCUGGCUCAUCGAGAAGGCACUCCAUCACGAAGCAUUCAGCACUCCGGAAGUGCAGUCGGCACUGAGGCGGCUUCGGCAUCGCCUGCCGCCGCGACAGUUCUUCCACUUGGUGGGCGACGCGCCACACAGGCGUCUCAAACACAGAUGGCGCACGCCGGUGUGCGGCGCGCGGGGCCCGCGGCGCGCGUGGGCGCCGCCGCCGCGCGGCAAGUCGCACUCGUACCCGCCCUUCCCGCCCGCGCACGCGCUGCCGCGCCCGCCGCCGCCGCCCUCCGCCGACGACUACUCCAGCCUCGACGCGCUGUGUCUGCAGAUGACGGAGCAGGCCAUCAACUAGCCCCUCUCCUGGUACUACUACUGCCCGUCUACUGCAUAUGCAUCUGCAGAUAACUGAAAUAGCUCACUACCACCUCUGCUGACCUGGUUUAAAGUUCGUGGCGCGGGGUUAUUAUGAAACUUGAACAGACCAUCGACAACUACACACUAGAAAUGCUAGUUAUAGUUAAUCACUAGAUAUCUACCAAAUUAUCGACCCAAAACACCAUGGUCCUCAAUUCCUCAAACUGUCUCAACCUAUGCCAUAUGAAAGCUUUUGAGGUAGUUUAUGUCAUAGAGUGGCCAAGUCUCUGACACUUAGAGCAAAUAUUUCGGGUGAGUUUUAAAAAUGUAUCCAUUAUACAUUUUUAAAUUAAUUAAUACUGUCUCAGUUUUGGAAACACCAUGUUGGUCUCCAUAGUAUGAGAUAAGUUGUACCCCAAAAGCAUUCAUAUGGCAUAGGUUUCAACAUUGUCGAGGGAUUUUGAUGAAUUGGACCAAAAUGACUCAAGGUUAUUUUGUGAGGAACCGUCUAAAUCUGAGACAAAUAGCACACAAUAAAUUGUAUAUUAGUUAUUUUAACUAAUAUGUAUACAGUGACAAAAUUAUACAUUUUUCUGUAUCAAUAUAUACAUUAAAAGUGUGUAGUUAAUUAUGUUAUUAAUUAUAUUAUCAUUUAGUUCCAUGUUUUUGUGGUCCAUUGAUUAGUUUGUAAUUAAUGGAAUAAUUACGGAGCUGGCGAACAAAACGGGGUAAUAGUAAUUACACUUCUAAUUAAAAUACAUUUUUCUUUAAUCUAGACUUUUUUGCUUACUGAAACAGAAAUCUCAACUUAUUUCCCAACAAAAAGGACUAAAACUAUAGAAAAACGACUUAAAAUGGAGUAUAAAAUUCAUGAUUUCGAUUAAAACUCAGUAAAGGUUCACAAUAGCUUUCAUUGAGUUGAUGUUCCUUCUGUAAAGUUUUAUUUUGUGCAAUCACACCGUUUUGCUCGCCAUCUCCUCAAUUUAUUGGGUUAGUGCUAGAAAUCAGAAUUUGUAACCUUUGAUUAGGUAACUGUGACACAAAAGACCCUUAACCAAUGGUUAAUAUAGUUUAUUUUAUUUUAAGUGCAAAAAUUGCAAUAAUAUUUAUUGUUUAACGCUCAACCAGAGAUUUUGACAAAAAAAUGAAUGCUUUUAAAUCAGAGUUAUUAAAUUAUGUUUAAUAAUAAUUACCUAUGUGAUGUAAAACAAUUUGUUUCAUAGAAAUAUGUGUUCCGACUAGCACAGUUGCUUAUUUUAUAUAAUAUUUUUAUUAUGUUUGCUGCAUUGUGCAACUAUUAUUUACAUGCAGUAGAACUAACUCUACCUUCUGACAGGCAACCACUUUGUUGCUAUAAUACAAUUAGGCUAGUGGGUUUGUAGCCUUUAGGCCGAAGUUAAUAAUAAUCUACUAUCUGUAAUCUAUCAAUAAAUUACAUCAACGUUUUUAUUUGACAAAAAAUUGGCAGUCAGUAGGGGGCAACUGCUGACAAAGUGAAAACUUAAAAAGAAAUGUGAUUUUUUUUUGGACUUUCAAAUCAAUGUAGUAAGUAUUAAUAAAAAACCCAAUCAAAAUUACAAACAAGCUCUUUUUAUUUUGCUGCAAUUAAAUUUAAACUCUAUUUCUUGGUAGUUAUGAUUAAUUUCUAAUAGCCUAUAAACUAGUACAUAGACAGUGAAAAUUGAAUUUUAUGUGAUUGUUUUAGAGCAUAAUUUUGUUUGUGUAAAAGUUAGCAUGUUAUUGACGCGAUCUUGAUGUUUCCAAAAUCGCCCAAAACGCAUAAAGUUAUCAAUUCAAAAAAUUACAGAUAGAUCGAUUAUUUAUUGAUAUUGGCUGUUAGUAGUUAAGACACAUCCGGUAGACUAAGAUAAAAUAAUGAAGAACAAUGACAUCGACUUAUCCGCCUCUGUCAAUAUUAUACACAUAUACGAGAUUGAAAUAAUAACUUCAGUCUUGGUACUACCACUUUUAUAAGUUACGCCGAUGUACCUGCGCAGAAAUCUUUUUUUUGCCUUGCGCGAAAACAUCUCGGCCAAUCAUAGCGCACGCCGGUGGUUGCCUACGCGCCAUGAGCGAGAUAGCACGAGUAUGUCGUUCUUGAAUUUGAAAUCUUAACGUCAAGCACUAAAGUCUGUAUUUCAUUAGUAUACAUUCGGUUUUGGUUGGUGUUAGGUUAGGUUAGUCGCGCAAACUAAUUUUGCCGAUGCGACUUAUAAAAGUGGUAGUACCCACAUAGAUUAUGAAUAAAUAAUUAUACAAAGGCACUAUUUGUAUGUAUUAUACAAAAGCACUAUUUGUAUGUAAACAAUUGUAAAUAUUUUGAAAUUUUUUGAAUUGCAAUCGCUCUGUAUUUGUGCCGCGCGCGAGCUACAUUUGUCUCUGCAAUAGUUUCCACAUCUAUGGCUGACUUGCUCUGACUUUGUUCGAGUGAAAUGUGAAAUUUCUGAAAAUCUUUUCUAACACUGCGCUUACACUGUGGUCUGAAACAUGUAUGUAUUCUGAAAAUCUUUUCUAAUACUGCAUUUACACCAUGGUCUAAAACAUGACUGUAUUCACAAAUGUAGAAUGCAUUGUUAUUUUUUGUCUACAUGAAAAAAGUUGUGAAAGGAAUUUCAUACAAAACUUGUUAAAUAUUUGUUGACUCUACUACUUGUUAGCAGUGAUAGCCUAGUGGUUGACUUGGGCUACCUAUUUGAGGGGUUUACAGUUUGAUCCCGGCCUAAACCCGGCCUAAAACAUUUUUAUUUUUAAAUUUAUCUUUUUGUGGGCAAGAAAAAAAUAUAUCUUUGUUUCAGAGAGGGCGAUAUGCAGAAGAGGAAAUAAUUGCAAAGACAAACGCUAGUGCUGUGCGCGCGCCUUUUGUAUAAAUAUUAUGUCCUAAUUUGUUUGGUGCUAAUCUGCAUUAUUUUAUUUUCAGUUAGUCAUUAGUGAUAAUUGAACUAGAGCUAAAUACUAUUUUAAUUUAAUUUUAGUGACAUGGGUAACAUAGCAGAGCUUAUUAUAGGAUAACAGGCACGAGUCGGCCUAAGACGGUUAGCUGCGAGUUUGAAUGUAGAUUAUAUUAUGGUAUCUGUUGUCUGUGGCGUGAUUGUUGACAUUUUAUUAUCUGUUACGAAGUGCAACAGCCUUGCACCGCGGGGUUUAGGUAUAGAAAUAAUUGUUGACUGACUGCAUAAUUUAUAAUGUUAGCAAAUGUUCAUUUCCAUACAUAUUUAAUUUUGUUUUUUUUUUACAACAUUUAAUUUUUCUUAAUAUUAUGAGCUAAUUGUUAAUAUUUUGACUGGAUCAAAAGGUUUGAUUGUAUUUUGUGCAAUUGUAAUAUUUUUUUAACAGUUAAGUACCUAAUUGAGGUUCAAUGUAAAUACCAAUGUAGAACUACACUUUAUAAAGCUUGGAUUAUGCACCUGAACAGAUAUCGAUAGAUAUGUGCAAUUAACAAAUUUAUUUACUUGAAUUUCAUACUAUUGUUAAUAUGAUAAUCUAGUAAUCUUCUGACCUAUUUAUUUUUUGAUUCUAUUUAAAAUGCAGAUAAAUAGACCUCUAGCAAUAUUUUUUUACAUUGUUUUGCUUGAUUUAAAAGUAUAUCUAGGUGAAGGUGUAUAAUCUAUGGCAAUGUUAUGUUUUUAUUGCAUAAGUGAAAUGAAAUAGUCCCUUCACUCAGUAAAUUAUUUAAUUCUUACAUUUUUCAUAUUUAAUUUUCACUUGCUGUUACAUUUUACCUUUUAUCUGUUUUAUUUUUCAACUGUGAUAUGAUGCUGUAGUUAAAAGUCGAUAUAUUGGUAUGUGAAAUAAAUAUAUAGAUGGCA